rnacentral:rRNA from 1 species
CAGCAGCCGCGGUAAUACAGAGGGUGCGAGCGUUAAUCGGAUUUACUGGGCGUAAAGCGUGCGUAGGCGGCUUCUUAAGUCGGAUGUGAAAUCCCUGAGCUUAACUUAGGAAUUGCAUUCGAUACUGGGAAGCUAGAGUAUGGGAGAGGAUGGUAGAAUUCCAGGUGUAGCGGUGAAAUGCGUAGAGAUCUGGAGGAAUACCGAUGGCGAAGGCAGCCAUCUGGCCUAAUACUGACGCUGAGGUACGAAAGCAUGGGUAGCAAACAGGAUUAGAUACCCGAGUAGUCCCUGUCUCUUAUAA